rnacentral:lncRNA from 1 species
ACUUGAAUGCAACAGCUGACUCAAGAGUCCUACAAUCACUAGUUAAUUUUUUGACCACCAGGUGGCUAAAAACUAGGCCACGCCUCUCCCACGGAUCCCAUAUAAUUAUCUGACAGCUGCCAGACGAUUGCACCAAAUGAGAUCCCUAUGCGUGCUGAAACUUAAUUUUGCAAUUAGUAAAGUGAAAACUACUGAAAGUGAAUAUCAUCAUUUCGGAGUAGAAAAAACGAAGUGCAUCCUCAAGAGCAGAGGGGCUUGACUGACGACUGGAAAAUUGGAUCCAAUCUAGAGAAGAGCCCUAUCAUACUUGGUUGUUUUUUGAAAUGAAUACCGGAAGAGUUGAUCACUGCUAUUCGUUUCAUUCUUCCAGGUCGAACUGUAUUUGUCCCAGGGGAGAAUGCAAAGCUGAAACGGCAGAGUCCUUGCGGUAUACGUCAGAUGUUAUUAUUACACCCCUGUGUACCUUGGCGGAGAGUCAGUGCUAGUGUGUUGCUGGGCAAGGUCCAGCUGCCCACCGCAAGCAUGUUGUUGCUCUGCUUUUUGAAGCGACACAGGGAGUUUGAGGGAGAGAAAUCAUACUUCCUAGUACAUGUAUCUACUCAAGAACUGCAGUCAUUCCAUGGAUAUGAAAUACGGGUCAGUUGGAGACUUGAAGGGCUAUACAAGAAAAAUUAUAACCGAAGGAUCCGGAUUGCGUGCAUCAGCUUGUAAAGAUCUUAUAACAGCUCAAUACCUCUCAAGCAUACUAUUAUGCCGGUCAACGCAAUUCAAAUUAUUUUCAAAUUAUCGAUCGAUCAAUUGGCGAUAACUCGAUCAAUUUCAUAGAUGGAAUUAUUCUGCUUGCAGAUUUGGAUUCCUGAGAUCAGAAUACAUAAGGAUAGCGUGAUAAACCCUUCAAAAAAAAAUCUGAUUCUUCAUCUCAGAUUUUGAGAAAAUUGCAAGGCUACAGGCUUACCGUUUUUUUCGGCAAAAAAGUGAAAGAUUCCCCAGAAUUAUUCCAGGACGCUUUUCCUACGUAAAAAAGCGUAACGAACAUAACUGCGUCGUUCAAAUUGAGCUGGCAUUGAAUCUCAACGAGAUAUCCUCAAUUUUUCAUUUUUUCAAUCGAUUAUUCGGCGCUAACUCGAUCAAUUUCAUAGAUGGAAUUAUUUUGCUUGCAGAUUUGGAUUCGUGAAAUCGAAUUUCAUGCAACUAGCUUGAUAAACCCCUCGGAAAA